GACGUAGGGCGCGAGCGUUGUCCGGAUUUAUUGGGCGUAAAGAGCUCGUAGGCGGCUUGUCGCGUCGUCCGUGAAAACCUGCGGCUCAACUGCAGGCUGGCGGUCGAUACGGGCAGGCUGGAGUUCGGUAGGGGAGACUGGAAUUCCUGGUGUAGCGGUGAAAUGCGCAGAUAUCAGGAGGAACACCGGUGGCGAAGGCGGGUCUCUGGGCCAUCACUGACGCUAAGCUGCGAAAAGCUAGGGGGAGCAAAACAGG
rnacentral:rRNA from 1 species